AUACUUACCUGGCAGGGGAGAUACCAUGAUCAUGAAGGUGGUUCACCCAAGGUGAGGCUCAGCCAUUGCACUGAGGCUGUUGCUGACCUUUGCGAAUUCCUCAAAUGUGGGAAUCUCGACUGCAUAAUUUCUGGUAGUGGGGGACUGCGUCCGCGCUCUCCCCUG
rnacentral:snRNA from 1 species